rnacentral:rRNA from 1 species
AGCGAACGCUGGCGGCAGGCCUAACACAUGCAAGUCGAACGAAGUCUUCGGACUUAGUGGCGGACGGGUGAGUAACACGUGGGAACGUGCCUCUAGGUUCGGAAUAACUCAGGGAAACUUGUGCUAAUACCGAAUGUGCCCUUCGGGGGAAAGAUUUAUCGCCUUUAGAGCGGCCCGCGUCUGAUUAGCUAGUUGGUGGGGUAAUGGCCCACCAAGGCUACGAUCAGUAGCUGGUCUGAGAGGAUGACCAGCCACAUUGGGACUGAGACACGGCCCAAACUCCUACGGGAGGCAGCAGUGGGGAAUCUUGCGCAAUGGGCGAAAGCUUGACGCAGCCAUGCCGCGUGGAUGAUGAAGGUCUUAGGAUUGUAAAAUCCUUUCACCGGUGAAGAUAAUGACUGUAGCCGGAGAAGAAGCCCCGGCUAACUUCGUGCCAGCCGCCGCCGUAACAC